ACAUGAAGUUAUCUGAAAUCUACAGGAGUCAUGGGAUUUUUUAGCUAUUGUUGUCAUAACCAUUUUAUUUAAACUUCUCAAUGGCAGCUAUUAAAAGCACCUGCAAAAAAUGAGCAACUGUCUUUACUCUAAUUUGUAUUUUCUAAUUGGGCAUCAUCUUGUAUAGCUGGGCAUGAGGAAUCCAUCAUAUGCAGGGAAGAGGAGAAAAAGG